CUGGCUCAGAACGAACGCUGGCGGCAGGCUUAACACAUGCAAGUCGAGCGCCCCGCAAGGGGAGCGGCAGACGGGUGAGUAACGCGUGGGAAUCUACCCUUGACUACGGAAUAACGCAGGGAAACUUGUGCUAAUACCGUAUGUGUCCUUCGGGAGAAAGAUUUAUCGGUCAAGGAUGAGCCCGCGUUGGAUUAGCUAGUUGGUGGGGUAAAGGCCUACCAAGGCGACGAUCCAUAGCUGGUCUGAGAGGAUGAUCAGCCACAUUGGGACUGAGACACGGCCCAAACUCCUACGGGAGGCAGCAGUGGGGAAUAUUGGACAAUGGGCGCAAGCCUGAUCCAGCCAUGCCGCGUGAGUGAUGAAGGCCCUAGGGUUGUAAAGCUC
rnacentral:rRNA from 1 species